CCUACGGGAGGCAGCAGUAGGGAAUUUUCGUCAAUGGGCGCAAGCCUGAACGAGCGAUGCCGCGUGAGUGAAGAAGGCCUUCGGGUCGUAAAGCUCUGUUGCGGGGGAAAAAAGGCAGCAUCAGGAAAUGGGUGCUGACUGAUGGUGCCCCGCCAGAAAGUCACGGCUAACUACGUGCCAGCAGCCGCGGUAAUACGUAGGUGGCGAGCGUUAUCCGGAAGGAUUGGGCGUAAAGGGUGCGCAGGCGGUCCUGCAAGUCUGGAGUGAAACGCAUGAGCUCAACUCAUGCAUGGCUUUGGAAACUGGAGGACUGGAGAGCAUGAGAGGGCGGUGGAACUCCAUGUGUAGCGGUAAAAUGCGUAGAUAGAUGGAAGAACACCAGUGGCGAAGGCGGCCGCCUGGCCUGUUGCUGACGCUGAGGCACGAAAGCGUGGGGAGCAAAUAGGAUUAGAUACCCUGGUAGUC
rnacentral:rRNA from 1 species